rnacentral:rRNA from 1 species
UACGGAAGGCAGCAGUGGGGAAUAUUGCACAAUGGGCGCAAGCCUGAUGCAGCCACGCCGCGUGUAUGAAAAAGGCCUUCGGGUUGUAAAGUACUUUCAGUCGUGAGGAAGGUGUUAAGGUUAAUAACCUUAGCAAUUGACGUUAGCGACAGAAGAAGCACCGGCUAACUCCGUGCCAGCAGCCGCGGUAAUACGGAGGGUGCGAGCGUUAAUCGGAAUUACUGGGCGUAAAGGGCACGCAGGCGGUUAAUUAAGUUGGAUGUGAAAUCCCCCGGGCUUAACCUGGGAAUGGCAUUCAAGACUGGUUAGCUAGAGUCUUGUAGAGGGGGUAGAAUUCCAUGUGUAGCGGUGAAAUGCGUAGAGAUGUGGAGGAAUACCGGUGGCGAAGGCGGCCCCCUGGACAAAGACUGACGCUCAUGUGCGAAAGCGUGGGGAGCAAACAGGGAUAGAUACC